GACGAACGCUGGCGGCGUGCCUAAUACAUGCAAGUUGAGCGAUGAAGAUUGGUGCUUGCACCAAUUUGAAGAGCAGCGAACGGGUGAGUAACGCGUGGGUAAUCUGCCUUUGAGCGGGGGACAACUUUUGGAAACGAAUGCUAAUACCGCAUAACAUCUUUAAACAUAAGUUUUAAGUUUGAAAGAUGCAAUUGCAUCACUCAAAGAUGAUCCCGCGUUGUAUUAGCUAGUUGGUGAGGUAAAGGCUCACCAAGGCGAUGAUACAUAGCCGACCUGAGAGGGUGAUCGGCCAAAUUGGAACUGAGACACGGCCCAAACUCCUACGGGAGGCAGCAGUAGGGAAUCUUCGGCAAGGGGAGAAAGUCUGAAGGAGCAACGCCGCGGGAGUGAAGAAGGUUUUCGGAUCGUAAAACUCUGUGGGUAGGGAAGAACAGAUGUGGAAGUAAAAAGGCAAGAAAUGAAGGUAAAAAAUCAGAAAGGGAAGGCUAAAUAAGGG
rnacentral:rRNA from 1 species